rnacentral:misc_RNA from 1 species
AAUUUGUUUACAUUCUCCACAAGUAUAAACCACUUAAUUGGCCCAUUGAUGUUGCUUCUCUUACGAAAAUUUAGGAGGAACUCCAAUCUAACAUGAAAAAAUACUGAAAUGAGGAAUAGGUUUUCCUUCCUAAUUCUUAGUUAUUCCUUCUAAAGUAAAAUAUAUGGCAAAAGCAAAUUUGAUAUUCAGUAAUACUAGUAUGCUAUCAAAGAAGACCCAUAAAUCUUCACUUAGUUAGGGAAACAAAGUGAGGGAGGAAAGAGAGUGAAGAGGGAAAAUAUGAGGAAAUUUACUUCAUUUAUUUCCACAACUCUUAUUUGGAUGGAAGGAAUAUAAAAGCAAGGAUACCUACAUUUCUUUCCUCACCACUCCUUUUUCAUUUCUCCCCAAAUUGGAAAUAUCAAUACCAUGUAGACCCAACGAAGAAGCGUAUAAGUUGCGGAAAUGAGAAUGUUAAG